GUCGGGCACUCUAGCGAGACUGCCGGUAAUAAACCGGAGGAAGGUGGGGAUGACGUCAAAUCAUCAUGCCCUUAUGACCUGGGCUACACACGUGCUACAAUGGUUGGUACAACGAGUUGCGAGUCGGUGACGGCGAGCUAAUCUCUUAAAGCCAAUCUCAGUUCGGAUUGUAGGCUGCAACUCGCCUACAUGAAGUCGGAAUCGCUAGUAAUCGCGGAUCAGCACGCCGCGGUGAAUACGUUCCGGGCCUU
rnacentral:rRNA from 1 species